rnacentral:rRNA from 1 species
GAAUUCGCCCUUGGGGAAUUUUCCGCAAUGGGCGAAAGCCUGACGGAGCAACGCCGCGAGAGGGAGGAAGGUCUUUGGAUUGUAAACCUCUUUUCUCAAGGAAGAAGUUCUGACGGUACUUGAGGAAUCAGCCUCGGCUAACUCCGUGCCAGCAGCCGCGGUAAUACGGGGGAGGCAAGCGUUAUCCGGAAUUAUUGGGCGUAAAGCGUCCGCAGGUGGUCAGCCAAGUCUGCUGUCAAAUCAGGUUGCUUAACGACCUAAAGGCGGUGGAAACUGGCAGACUAGAGAGCAGUAGGGGUGGCAGGAAUUCCCAGUGUAGCGGUGAAAUGCGUAGAGAUUGGGAAGAACAUCGGUGGCGAAAGCGUGCUAUUGGGCUGUAUCUGACACUCAGGGACGAAAGCUAGGGGAGCGAAAGGGAUUAGAUACCCCUGUAGUCCUAGCCGUAAACGAUGGAUACUAGGCGUGGCUUGUAUCGACCCGAGCCGUGCCGAAGCUAACGCGUUAAGUAUCCCGCCUGGGGAGUACGCACGCAAGUGUGAAACUCAAAGGAAUUGACGGGGGCCCGCACAAGCGGUGGAGUAUGUGGUUUAAUUCGAUGCAACGCGAAGAACCUUACCAAGACUUGACACGUCGCGAAGCCUGGUGAAAGCUGGGGGUGCCUUCGGGAGCGCGAA